UGUGAGAUGGUGAUUUGCUCAACACCCUACUUGCCAGCCCCCCCCCCCCCCAUCUCUAGAUAUAACUCUGUACAACCAACUAAACCUGGAUAACACUGAUUUAUGUGUCUUGUUCUAUAUUAUUUAUGUACCAUUAUAUACAUUUAUUUCAUGUAUAUAAUUUCUUAUGAUAUAUGUAACAUUAUUGCCUUGACUCCUGGUAUUCUAUAUACAGAGCAGUGAGGAAAGAGUUUCCAGAUAAGUUGAUAAUUCUCCUUAUCAGCUUGUGUUUACGCCCGGGUCAGCAACUUCAUAAUCCCCCAAACAGUAGGCCCUAUGUCCUUGUGCAGCUGUAACAUAAACAGUGACCGUGUGGUUUCCCCCAUUCACCCCUCUGUUAGGAAAAAGGGUAAAAACAAGCAUCUGUACUGUAAGAUACUCAUUAGAUUAAACUCAGAACACUGUCCCUAAACGGUUGAUAUAGAGAGCUGCUUUAGCUGAAUGUAACAAGGAAUUGCUGGAAUCAAAGUGAUGAAUCUACUAGUUUAACGCCUACUUUGUAAGCUUCGAAAACAGGACCCUGACUGUUGCAGUUCCAUAUUCAAGGUGAUUAGUCAUUUUUCUUUGGUUGUAUGUAGAAUUUGGUUACAUAUCACACAUUUUUGUUUGACUCUCUCCAUAAGAUAUUUGUUAUAUAUUAUGUUGGCGGUAGCGGUGGUAUCUUAAAUGUAAGAAAUGUAUCGUACAGGUCACAUUUAUUCUCAUAUCAAGAUGACCAGUAAUAGUAUACAUUUGUAUUCUUAUCCAGUUUGUUGUUUGUGUAAAUAAAUAGGCAUGCAUUGCUGGUACUUUGACUUGUAUAAAACCCCCUCAUAGUUUGAUUGCGAAUACAGAUAGCAUGAUAGUCGAUACCUGUAGGAUAUACUGUAUGUUAACGAUUGCUAGAGUC
rnacentral:lncRNA from 1 species